GUAAAGAACCAUUUCGAUGUUUAUUUGGGUGUUUAGAGCUCAAGGUCAGCAUGAUUCAAAUCUGUUAAACAAUUUCUCCUUGUUUAGUAAUGGAAAUUCGAGUCCUGAUUUUGACUGUACCUUUCACCUGAAGAAUUUACUACCAUGCAGAAAAGGUUUCUGGACAUACACUCUCAUGGUGGAAUAACCAAGACCGUCCAAUCUUUGCUGCAGAUCUUCUUGUUCUUUGAUUUUCUAAAGACAGUUGCCACUCUGGAGUGUGAAGUAUGUUCUGACAUUGGCACCAACUGUACUGGCAAUAUGAAGACCUGUGAGCCUGAACAAGAAACAUGCGUCAUCGUUUUAAUUCAUAACACUCUAAGUUAGUGACAAAUGCACACCACAUCUAGACUCUGUUUAAGCGAACAGUUUAGGCUAGAUGACUUUAUAGCAUCAUGACAUGGAGACAUCUAAUCCUAGCUUACAUGCCUCACCUAAGUUUAGCUGAUU